GAAACGUGUAUUUAUUUAAUGCACAUGCUUGCUAUCCAUUGUUCAGACUCACAGAGCUAAAAUCAAAUCAAACACCAGCGUUUGCUGUCCGGAGAAGCACCACACAAAGACAUACAGUUCGACCUUUAAUCAAUGCAGAAAAAGAUCAACAGGAGUCACACUACAGAGGAGAAAUAAUACAGAGGGUAGGUACUGAAAAACUAUUAUUUGGAGACAAAUACACCACAUUUUCUUUACAAUGGAUUAUAUGUACAUAUUAAACUUGUUUUUAAGCGAAACAAAAGCUUUUUAGAGAAAGCAUAUACCAGUGAAACAUGAUCUGCCCUUGAUAAUUCUCAAAAGUUAAUGUCUGCAUAUGUUUUAUACAAAAUAGAUUUUCAAACAAUAUUUGGGUAGUGCAAAUAUUUUUAGAUUCAAGCUGGUUGAUUACUUUCACAAACAGUUUUUGUGUGUGAAAAAGACCGACUCCUAUCCUAUUCACAGUAUUACACAAUUUGACCAAAGCCGUCACGUUAGAGUAAAAAAUGUGUCGGAAAGAAGUAAGAAAAAAAAACAAAAUCCACACAAAAAAUGUGUUUAAAAAAUGAACUGUACAUUUUUCACAUAGGAGCUCCUUAGCUCACACUGACAUAAUGCUGAAUCUGUGUGUAUUUGCUUUGGUCACCUUGUCAAACAUCAAAUAGGUUUUUUGUGCAGUCUGGCUGGACCGAUUACUGUUUCCUGAAUAUCCUGAAAAGUCUGGCCUGCAGAGAUAAAGUUAUACGUGAAUCUCCUGUAUGCAAAUAGCUUAUAUCAGAAAAAAAAACUGAAAUACGUAAGAGAAGUAAGCACAUAAAUGUUAUGUGAUGGUGAUAGUUUAUGUGUUUCUAUUGCAUAUUCAUUUGUCCUCCUCAAAAAUGUACAAGAAGGUAAAAAGGAUACAUUUUUGAGCAAGAUGAGGCAAGUGUGCGAUUUCAUGUAUAUAGUUAUAUAUAUAUAGAUACCUUUCUAAAUGAACAGCAGCAGCAGAGAUUUGGAUACACUGAAUGUGAAAGUAACCCACGAGUAACCCCUCUGCAGUUAAUGAGGAUGGUUUUCCACUAUUUUGAAUAAGCUUCAAAGAAAAAUAACAAGCAUGUUGUAUGAGACUCAAGUAUGAAAGACAUCGGUGGCAGCAGAUGCUUCAAACUUUGCUGAUGUAUCAACUUAGCUUUUUUUUUUCUCUUUUUUUAUCCCGCACAAAUAAACAGCAUAAAACACAGAAGCAGACACAUGAGGAAAUCCAAACAGUUUUUGGUUCUUUUUGUCAGAACUAAACGUGGACAGCUACAUACUGUGUGAAUCAAAAACAACCUGAGCAUGGGAGCGGUUUAAAAUUCAUGAGUGCUUUUGUUCUUGUUGUUGGGACAGAAUUGCACUAUUUUUCAUAUUAACUUUAUCACUGAGCACUUUGCGGAUGCUCACUUCACAUAAAUAUCCAAUUAUUUAUAAGUGACAGUUAGCUAACCCUUUAUCUGUCAACAACUUUUGUUUGAAGUUAAAUGAAAUCCGUUUCACAUUCAUACAAAAACCUGGAUUAGUUGAUGCUUUAAACAUAAACAAACACGCUGGGCGACAAUCUCAACUGAUGAAAAUGUUGCAAUGCAUUUCAAAUUCCUGUUUACUCCACACAGACAGAGACAGACCUGCAUUAAUGUGUGAUUACACAAGACCUUUGUGUUAUGAAUAAAGCUCGGUUAUCACUCAAUAACGACAUCAAUCCGGUGGGCUCAAACUCAACAUGAUUCAGGACGUUUCCCUCUAAUCAACAGACUAAUUCAUAAGCUUCACUGCGUGGAUUUGUUUCCUACUGACCAACUUUCGGCAUCACUGAAAACAGACAAAACAGGAGUUUGGCACUGAAAUAGUUCCCAGAGAUUAAAGGAUCCAUUUUGCUUGCCUCCCCCAGGCAGCAAUGCUUCACUUCCACUGUGACAGGACUCUAGAAGGUGAACGAUGAGAAGUGCUGUCAAACGCUGGGGCUCAACUACAAACAGACAAUCAAACAGAUGUGCAAAUGUACUAAAGACACAUAGACAUCAGGGCAAAUUGAAGGAGCUCAGCAGGAGGGGGUCAGAGGGUAUCAGCAGGUGUGGGAGGUUUACAGGGUAAUUAAUCUGCCAACGCAUGGUACCAAAGUGCCGUAUACACAAGCUGUCUAUCAUACAAACUGUUGACUUUAAGAGGAAUGCGUUAACAUUUUGGCAAAUACUCUUUUUCGCUUUCUUGCUGAGAGCAAGGUGUAGAAAUCGAUACCACUCGGGUCUGUACAACGAACGUUAAGCUGCAGCUGGUUAGCUUAGCUUUAGCAUAAAGACUGGACAGCUGAGCUCGCCUUUUGAAGAUAAAAACUGUUUACUGGCACCUCCACAGCUCAGCAAUACACAUGCUACUGUACAAAAAAAUCUUUUACGACAUUCAGCUUUUCUGGUGGGUUUUGUGGCAGACUAUUUUUUGGCCGGGAUAAAUUACAUCCUUGAAGCCUCCACUGGUUGCCUGGCAACUAGUGCUGGUCAUACAAUAGUCCGUUAUAUUAAAAGAGGCUGAACUGUUGUUUUUACAGGUUAAUGAGCUGGUAGAUGGAUUUCGCUCCCUUUCAACAGAACCGAGCUAGCUCCUUCCAGUCUUCAAGUUGAGGUAAGUUAACCUACUGCUGCCCAACAUUAACGGUACAGAUCCGACAGUGGCAUCAAUCAGGGGUCAACCGAUUAUUGGUACGGCUGAUUGUCGCAUCUGAUAUUUAGUAUUUUUCAAAUUAUUGGUAUCAUUUUAUGUAUUUUUUAAAGGAUUUUUAAAAAACUGAUUCCCUCUCUGCACUGCCAAAAAAAGUUAUCUUUAGGCAUUUCAACUAAAUUUUUAUUUGAAGCUUCUGCUAUUCUAAUUUUUGACUCCCAGAUUUUCAUUCUAAUUACAAAUGUAAAUUGAUUGCAAGCAUCUAAUAAUCGGUGUUGAUAUCAGCACUGCGAUUGGCAGUGCCUCAAUUUUUU
ensembl:lncRNA